CCUACGGGGGGCUGCAGUGGGGAAUAUUGGACAAUGGGGGGAACCCUGAUCCAGCCAUGCCGCGUGUGUGAAGAAGGCCCUCGGGUUGUAAAGCACUUUCAGUGAGGAAGAACGCCUGGUGGUUAAUACCCAUCAGGAAAGACAUCACUCACAGAAGAAGCACCGGCUAACUCCGUGCCAGCAGCCGCGGUAAUACGGAGGGUGCGAGCGUUAAUCGGAAUUACUGGGCGUAAAGCGCGCGUAGGUGGCUUGAUAAGCCGGUUGUGAAAGCCCCGGGCUCAACCUGGGAACGGCAUCCGGAACUGUCAAGCUAGAGUGCAGGAGAGGAAGGUAGAAUUCCCGGUGUAGCGGUGAAAUGCGUAGAGAUCGGGAGGAAUACCAGUGGCGAAGGCGGCCUUCUGGACUGACACUGACACUGAGGUGCGAAAGCGUGGGUAGCAAACAGGAUUAGAUACCCUUUGUAGUC
rnacentral:rRNA from 1 species